GGAAGGAUCAUUAUCGAAAAAAGCAAUCUGGGGGAAAGGUGAUCGAGCGAAGUUUGGUAGAUCGUAGGGAUUGUCGCUGGCCUUUGGAAACAAAGGCAUGUGCACGUUCCGAGCUCUCCUUAGUCCUCGUUGACCCUUUCCUUUGGAAAAACUUUAUUAACACCUGUGCACCUAUUGUAGGUCCCGCAAGGGAUCUAUGUCUUUAUUUACCCCAAACGUAUGUCCAGAAUGUCCUUAAUACGUCGACCGGCCUGGCUAACGCCUUGUUGGCGACGGUAAAGAAUUAUACAACUUUCAGCAACGGAUCUCUUGGCUCUCGCAUCGAUGAAGAACGCAGCGAAUUGCGAUACGUAAUGUGAAUUGCAGAUUUUCAGUGAAUCAUCGAAUCUUUGAACGCACCUUGCGCUCCUUGGUAUUCCGAGGAGCAUGCCUGUUUGAGUGUCAUUGAAUUCUCAACCAUUCUUUGAUUGAUUUCGAGGAGUGGCUUGGAUUUUGGGAGUUGCUGGCUGACCUUUCUGUGACGGUCGGCUCUCCUUAAAAGCAUUAGCGAAAGGUGGCAAGCCCAUGCAUGCACGGCCUUCGACGUGAUAAUGAUCGUCGUGGCUGGAGUGCGAGGCGUAGAUAUCUACCUUUGCAAUAAACAUCGUACUUGGGGAACUUUGCUUCGGCGGACGAACCCUUUGCACUUCGACGCUGACCUCAAAUCAGG
rnacentral:rRNA from 1 species